rnacentral:rRNA from 1 species
UGGCCAAGCAAGUCCAUUGGGAAAUCCACGUGCUCAACGCGUGGGCGUCCGGUGGAAACUGUUUGGCUUGGGGCCAGAAGACCUGAGGGGUACGUCCGGGGUAGGAGUGAAAUCCUGUAAUCCUGGACGGACCACCAAUGGGGAAACCACCUCAGGAGGAUGGACCCGACAGUGAGGGACGAAAGCUAGGGUCUCGAACCGGAUUAGAUACCCGGGUAGUCCUAGCUGUAAACGAUGCUCGCUAGGUGUGCCGUAGGCUACGAGCCUGCGCUGCGCCCUAGGGAAGCCGAGAAGCGAGCCGCCUGGGAA